UACGUAGGGGGCAAGCGUUGUCCGGAUUUAUUGGGCGUAAAGAGCGUGUAGGCGGCCAGACAAGUCUGCUGUGAAAACUCGAGGCUCAACCUCGAGCUGUCGGUGGAAACUGUCUGGCUAGAGUCCGGAAGAGGAGAGUGGAAUUCCUGGUGUAGCGGUGAAUGCGUAGAGAUCGGAAGGAACACCAGUGGCGAAGGCGGCUACCUGGCCUGAUACUGACACUGAGGCACGAAAGCGUGGGGAGCAACAGG
rnacentral:rRNA from 1 species